UGCCAGGCAGCGCUGUGUGUUCACUCACUGUUCAGGCUCCUCCUCUGCCUCCCAGUCCCUCCCUCCCUCUCUCUCUGAUAAGGAACAGGAAGUGAUGACAUCAGAGAGAGAGGCAGAGGGAGCUCCGUGGGAGAAAUCAUUCUACUUCUCCUCUCCAGCCCAGCUCCAGCAGCCUGCCCAUGUAGUGGCCAGCCAAGUGCCUACUGUGCCCUACAUGCAGACAACCUGACCAAGACAGUCCUAACUCCUGAGUCCUGACACCUGUCCUAGUCUGUCACUCACUUCUAAAAAGACAAAAUGACUCAUGAAGUCCGCCCCAGCCAGGCUAUGCCACUCCAAGCGACCUCUGAGAAUCUCCGCUGACCUGUGCUACUCUGCUUCCUAUGCUAUCUCCAUUUCGCUGGACUGUGCAAUGCCUACUAAUGUCCAACAUGCUGACUGAUGUCUGCUCUGCUGCCCUCUGGCUACCUCGUUGGCUUACACCUGUGACUCUGCUACAGAUGGUGCUGUGGAAUAUGGCGAUCAAUCUGCCGUGU